rnacentral:rRNA from 1 species
GAUGAACGCUGGCGGCGUGCUUAACACAUGCAAGUCGAACGAUGAAGCCCAGCUUGCUGGGUGGAUUAGUGGCGAACGGGUGAGUAACACGUGAGUAACCUGCCCUUAACUCUGGGAUAAGCCUGGGAAACUGGGUCUAAUACCGGAUAGGAGCGUCCACCGCAUGGUGGGUGUUGGAAAGAUUUAUCGGUUUUGGAUGGACUCGCGGCCUAUCAGCUUGUUGGGGAGGUAAUGGCUCACCAAGGCGACGAGGGGUAGCCGGCCUGAGAGGGUGACCGGCCACGCGGGGAGUGAGACACGGCCGAGACCCCUGGGGGGGGGAGGGGGGGGGAAUAUUGCACAAGGGGGGAAAGCGUGGUGCAGCCGCCCCGGGGGGGGGGUGGGGCCUUUGGGGUUGAAACCCUUUUUCAGGAGGGAAAAAGCGAAAGGGGGGGAACGGGAAAAAAAAGCCCCGGCAAAACACG